GGGAGCUUGCUCCCUGAAGUCAGCGGCGGACGGGUGAGUAACACGUGGGCAACCUGCCUGUAAGACUGGGAUAACUCCGGGAAACCGGGGCUAAUACCGGAUGAUUCUUUCCCUCACAUGAGGGAAAGCUGAAAGAUGGUUUCGGCUAUCACUUACAGAUGGGCCCGCGGCGCAUUAGCUAGUUGGUGAGGUAACGGCUCACCAAGGCGACGAUGCGUAGCCGACCUGAGAGGGUGAUCGGCCACACUGGGACUGAGACACGGCCCAGACUCCUACGGGAGGCAGCAGUAGGGAAUCUUCCGCAAUGGACGAAAGUCUGACGGAGCAACGCCGCGUGAGUGAUGAAGGUUUUCGGAUCGUAAAACUCUGUUGUUAGGGAAGAACAAGUACCGGAGUAACUGCCGGUACCUUGACGGUACCUAACCAGAAAGCCACGGCUAACUACGUGCCAGCAGCCGCGGUAAUACGUAGGUGGCAAGCGUUGUCCGGAAUUAUUGGGCGUAAAGCGCGCGCAGGCGGUUCCUUAAGUCUGAUGUGAAAGCCCCCGGCUCAACCGGGGAGGGUCAUUGGAAACUGGGGAACUUGAGUGCAGAAGAGAAGAGUGGAAUUCCACGUGUAGCGGUGAAAUGCGUAGAGAUGUGGAGGAACACCAGUGGCGAAGGCGACUCUUUGGUCUGUAACUGACGCUGAGGCGCGAAAGCGUGGGGAGCAACAGGAUUAGAUA
rnacentral:rRNA from 1 species